CACCCAAGUGCAAAUGUUGCUCUUGGUGUUGCUCCUGCUCCUGCUCUUGCUCUUGUCCAACAUCCAAUUGCUGUAGGUGUAGAAAGCCCUCAUGCAGCUGUAACUGCUGCACUUGUCGACUUCCUUCGUGCCCAGAUUGCUCUUGUUGCAAACCUUCGUGCCCAGAUUGCUCUUGUUGCAGACCUUCGUGCCCGGAUUGCUCUUGUUGCAGACCUUCGUGCCCGGAUUGCUCUUGUUGCUCUUGUUGCAGACCUUCGUGCCCGGAUUGUUCUUGUUGCUCUUGUUGCAGACCUUCGUGCCCGGAUUGCUCUUGUUGCAUACCUUCAUGCCCAAAUUGCUCUUGUUGCAAAUUGUCAUGUCCAAAAUGCAAUUGCUGCACAUGGUUAUGCUGUUGUCCUAAGUGGACAUGCUCUAC
rnacentral:lncRNA from 1 species